AGGCAACGCAAUGUGGGACAUGAAUGGAUUUCCUGCUGUUGAAAUGCUCUUGCAUUCCUGGGAAAACCAAUUGCAAUUAUUUUCUACUGAUCACUUUGCCUGCUGGGUGGAGAAGUAGAGGAGAAGAGCAAGGAGGGAAACAGAGAGCAGGGAGGAGACUCCUGCAAUACUCCAGGCAAGAGAAGAUGGUGGCUUGGACCAGGCUGGCAGCAGUGGAGGUGUUUUCGGCGGACACAACAUCUUUGUAUGUGGUGUUGAGAAUCGAACCCAGGCCGCAUGCAUGCCAGGCGAGCGCGCUACCACUUGAGCCACAUCCCCAGCCCAGCACUGGGAAAACCAGCUGUCGUGAUGUGAGGCAGCUUUGUGGGGAAUCCCUUGUGACAGCCAAUAGCCAGUGAGGAGCUGAGGUCUGUCAACAAAAUGUGAAUGAACUUGGAACCGGGUUCUGCAGCUCCAGAGAGCCUAGAGACAGCUACAGCUCUGGUCAACAGUUGGAUCACAGCCUCAUGGAACAAACGGCCUGAAUCAUCCAGUUAAGCAACCUCCAGAUUCAUGAGCCCCAAGAAAGAGAGUAAAUGUUUGUGGUAAUUUGCAAUGCAAUAAUAGAUGAUAAAUGCAUUCAUUCAAUAAAUAUGUAUU